UAGUUCCAAUUAUGUUGUCCUUAGAGCUUCCUUGGUCAUUGUAUCUCUUCAAAACAAUGGAGACCAUAAGACAGCUGAUUUCACUGAGGGUGGGAUUCUGCUGGACUGUAAGAGGGAGUUGGGCUAGGAAGCACUGUGCUUGAGUGGGGCUAGGGAGAAAGGAAAUAGCUUCUAUUUCCUCUAGUGGGCUCAAAGCAAGCAAGAUACUCUCUCUCAAAUUUUCUUUCCCUUUUGCCAUGAGUUACCUCAUCAAUGCCUUACAAGAGAUUUGGCAGCCUGUGGUUACCUGGGGAGAUUGGUUAGUGACAAAGCAAAUGCAAAAUGACAAGAGAAGAGAAGGAAGGUUGCCAGGAGUGUUCUCUGGUUACUAAGGCAUUUCUCAUAGACAGCUAUAGACCCGGAGACAUUGUAGAUGCCUUUGGACCAAUCCUGUUCAAAGAAGGCCAAACCGAUGGCAUGUGGGGAUCUGUCAGGGAUUAUAAACCUCAAAGGGCUCAAAGGCCCAAGCUGCUGGUUCAGAAUCACGGUAUUUUAGAUAUGGGAUUUCAUGGAUACUCCAGGGCUCUGAGAAUUGGUGGCUUUCCCCUAUCCACAUCUUCAAGGUACCAGUGGAGGCACAUGACUAUUCAUCAAAGAAACAAAGGAGCAAGAGGAGCUGAGUGGGCCAGUCCUUAUGAAGACCAGGGUGAAUGUGGAUGGCAUGCUCAGCUGGGUCUUACUCAGCUGGGUCUUGUGUGACUCUUUCCAUUUCAGCUUUAAUUCCGGAGACUUCCAUGUAACAAAGAUGGCCACUGGUGCUGCCCAGUUAUUACUGUCCUCAGAGCUGGUCAUUCUAGAAACACACACACACACACACACACACACACACACACACACACACACAAAACCAAAAAGGUUUUUUUUUUAUCAGUGACCAAAUAGCUGACAAGAAGCAACUUGGAGAAGGAAGAAUUUUUUCUGCUCAUAGUCUGAAGGGACACAGUCAGCCACUGUGCAGAAGCCAUGGCCACAGAGAGACAAGAUGGCUGGACAUUGAUAUUCAGGAAGCCGAAAGUGUGUAGAAGGAGAGGCAGGCUACACCAGUUUGAAGCUCACCCUUAGCGAAUCACUUCCUCUGGCAAGGCUCUGUCUCCAAAAGAUUCUACAACCUCCCAAUAUAACACUCCAGCUAGGAACCAAAUGUUUGAAUACAGAAGCCCAGAGAGGACAUUUCACAUUCAAACCACAACAGGAGGGUCUAACAAUUUCAACCCAAGCAGCACAAAUGACAAGAUUGGUCUGGCUUGGGUCAUAUGCCUGUUACCUGAAACAGCAGUUCCAUCCAGGAGGAUCCUGAUUGGCACCAUCUCGGGGAUGGACUUGUGCCCUCUGCCCUUCUUCUAGAGUAGUAGAAUUUCUACUAUAGCGGCUUGUAGGUAGGUAGUGCCCCACACCCCAAACAUGCUCAGUUCUCUCCCAGAGUCUGUGGCUAUGUUAAGUUCCACGGCAAGCGGGAGUGAAGGUUGCAGAGUAAAUGAACGAUGCUUUUCAGCUAUCCUUAAAAUAAAGAGGUGAUUCCAAACCACGUAGAUGGUUCAGUUAAGCUAGGACAGGCAAGACAGGAGCUGCGUGUGAAUUUUAACCAAGCGAGAUGCAGCCUAAACUCUGGACCUCUGGACCUAUUAGGCUAAGUAGACGUGCAUUGUUUAAAGCUACUAAGUAGUAGAUAUUUGUUCAGCAGUAACAGGAGACGGACAUUAAAAUGUCACUUCUCAGGCUUUCUUGCACUCACACGUGGCUGUUGCUAGGUCCUCGGUGCAAGGGGAGCAGGCUCGUAGAAGCUCCUGGGAGUCUCUUCUGUUCUGCUGAUGGACAUGGAUGUCCCUCGGGCCACGGGAUGUGUGUGUGUGUGUGUGUGUGUGAAGGCACAUGCUACCAGAGGUAGAGGUGUGAACGGGGAGGAGCAGAGGCCCACGGCCAGCCUUGCAAUUUCUGACUCCACAUUUUGAGCAGGAUAUCAACGUCUUAUCUUCUUCAAGUCACUGUCAUUUGGCUAUGUGCCAACCUCACACCUGGAGCAAGCCCAAUGGUUACAGAAGGUAAGGGCAUUGGCAUUGAAGGUUGAAGAGUCCCUUCUACCCCCGAAGGAGGGAGCAUUUCUCUGAUGUUCAAUGAUGUUCCAGAAGAUUCUUGACUCCUCCCCUGCCCACAGUAGCUUUUCCUCUGGAUGACAUGGUCUUGGUGUUAUAACCUUACCUCUGUCUUGUCUCUUGUCCUUGUCACUGGUGUCUGUUUUUAGGCUACAGCUCUAUAGCCAUUCUGAACUGGCUUGACCCUGUGGCUCUCUGGACUCUGCAUGGUCUGGAGCAUUAGCCUUGGCUUAGUUCUGGCCAAAGGGAACUUCCUAUCCCAGGCAUUGACUGGCAUCCCAUGCACCUUACUCAGAGAGAGGGAGUCAGAACUCCUUCCUUUUGUUCUUUUUUGAGGGAAGGUCUUGAUAUGUGUCCCAGGCUGGCCUUGAGCCCUCCAUCUUCCUGCUGUCACCUCCUGAGCACUGAGAUUAAAGGAACAUGUCAUCAGGACUUAGUAGCAUGGGGGACCCUAUCAUCCAGGGUGACUUCAGGUGACUUCAUAGUUACGUUUACUGAGAACCCAACCUUACACCGCAAAUCCAAUGCUUCAUCUUUAGCUUCGUCUCACUGCCUGAAUGUGAGGAUAUGUGUACUGGUGUCACUUCUUGAAGUCGUGACAGCUGUAAGUCAUGAUCCACUCAGCUGCUAAUUGGAGCCAUCGUUUGACCAGGCAGUGACUGUGAUUCUGAGACGCAGGUGGUGAUGUUGCCUGCAUUACCAUGCUCAGCUAUUUUUAUCACCUGAAUAUCUCUUAACAUUCCAAAUGUUGAGACGAUUGUGACAAUGGUCCAGGGCUGCCAUGUGUGCUUGGGCAGGCUGUGUACAGCACAGGUGAGAACCAUCCACAUUGUCAUCCAUAUUCAUUAUAUUCUGAAGUUGUGCAGAGCAAUUAUACAUAGUCACUCAACCUCUGUGUAAACCAGUAACGAGGUCACAGAGAUGUGUCAGGAGCUCUGCCUGGAAGUCUCAGGUUGAAAGGAAGGUACUUGUUCUUCUCCAAAGUCACACACAGUAGGGCUUGGGUCCAUGGCUGGCUUGGAUGCUGAGUGGAGACCUUAGACCACCUGAAACACAUUUUCCCUUCUUUCUUCUCUCCCCCCUCUCUCCCUCCCUCUCUCUCUCCUUCCCUCUUUCUUUCUUUCUUCCUUCCUUCUCUUCUUCCUUCCUCUCUCUCUUUCUCUCCCUUUCUUUCUCUUCUCUCCUCUUCUCUUCUCUUCUCUUCUCUUCUCUUCUCUUCUCUUCUUUCUCUCUCAUUCUCUCUCUCGUUCUCUCUCUCUCUUUCUCUCUCUCUUUCUCUCUCUCUCUCUCUCUCUCUCUCUUUCUUUCUUUCUUUCUUUCUUUCUUUCUUUCUUUCUUUCUUUCUUUCUUUCUGAUAGAGUCUAACUAGCAAGCCAGGCUGGCCACAAACUUGUAGGUAGUCCUCCUGCCUCAGCCUCCUAAGUCCUGAGAUUACAGACAUGAGCCAUAGCAUUAGGCUUAUCUUUGUGGAAAAGAACUCUCUGGGAAUGAGAGCCAUGAGUGGUCCCUAGCUGAAAGACCGCCAAGGUGCUGGGCCUCCUUGACCUUGUUCAUGACAACAUAGAGCCGUAACCAUGAAACUGCCUUUGGAGUUUCCCAUCCACCCAGAAGGCCGGUAUUGCUCUUUUUUUCCCCUCAGUCCUCGAAAUGCCAGGCAUGGUACUAGGACUUCAAGAAUGUGUUUAAACGCUUACUUAAGAAUUUAAGAAGGGCCAGGCGUGGUGGUGCACGCCUUUAAUCCCAGCACUUGGGAGACAGAGACAGGUGAAUUUCUGAGUUUGAGGCCAGCCUGGUCUACAGAGUGAGUUCCAGGACAGCCAGGGCUACACAGAGAAAUCCUGUCUCAAAACAAAACAAAACAAAACAAAACAAAACAAAACAAACAAAAAAAGAAUUUAAGAAGGGACCACUGUAACAAACCUGCCGAUCUAAACAGUGGCUGCCCCUUUGAGCCAGUGUGGAAUGCUGCUGAUAGCUCUCUGUUCACAACACAGUGUCUGGUGGGAGGGGCGAUUAUGUUUCUGUAGAUGAUGGAGCUGGAAGGAUCCUUGAAAUAACCUGGUUCUUCAUCCUAAAAAAGAGGAACUAGAAACUCAAAGGUCACUAGAGGUCACAGAGCGAUUGACUGCGAACCAGGCCUCAAAUCCAAGGUUCUUCAUUUCUGGUUUCAUUUCCUUUCAUUUAUACAACAUUCUGACCUCACAUGUGAUCUUGGCUCCACCAUUUUCUGUGUGGCUUUUAAUCUGGUAUUUAACCUUUCUGUUCUUGGCUCAUCUGAAGUACAGGCCUUCUCAGCUACAGCCCUCAUGGAGUUAUAUUAAGGAACACAUGAGGGUUUUGUUUUUUUUGUUUUUUUGUUUUUUUUUGCCUGGAGAGUGCUUUUCUAAAUGUCAGGGACACGUAAUUAAUUGUCCAGUAAAUUCAAGUUUUAAUUAGUGUUUUGUGAUGCCAGGGGUUGAGCCUAGGGCCUUGUGCUUAUUAGGUAAGUCUUUGACCAGUAAGUUACAUUGCCAGCCCUAUAGUUUAAAAAAAACAUAUGUACCAAUUCGUCAAGAUCACUUUACAUUCUAGAAGCAUGGUCUUGCUAGUUGGGUUAGGGGAAGGAAAAGGGCGUCCUGGGUGUGAUGUUUGUGUUGGGAAUUUCUCUGCAUGCUAACCAGUGUUUGUUCAAUAUAGUGUUCUGUGGGACUCUCCGUUUUUCCUAACUCUGAGAAAAGUAAUCCGCCAGAUCUCUUCAGGCCAAGGUAACAGUGAUCGUUUACACCCUUCAUAAAUGCUAGGGUGAGGUCAGCACAGUGUUAUCCUUUCCAACGGCAGGUGGGGAACACUCAGGUAACAAUGGCUGGUGGGUGGGAGAGAGCUUGGAUCCUGGUCAAGUUCUUCUUGGAGAUGGAACAGGAAAUGAUUGUGUGUCUGGCCCCUCGCCAGGAGUCCCCUUGCCAGCGUCUCCCCAUCCCUCAUGUGGUCCACCCUCACAAUGGAGCACCUCCUAUCCAAGUGAGUGUGUGGGCUGUUGGUGGAGGGAAGGGGCAAGGGCCAAAUGCACCUGGGAUGUGAGCUGCAUCGUGGGUGCUGGACAGGCUGGUUGAACACCAUUGUCUUCUAGAUUCUGCUGGGGCUUGGGGAUCAAAAGCGGAAGCUUCCCACGGGGAGAUUAGCUAAGUGAAAACUGUAAUCCAACACAGCGAGUUCGCAUCUUGAUGAGUGCAGAGCCAAAGCAAGCAUGACCAAGACACAGGGGUGUGGAGAAAGAUUUAACACCUGCAAGAGGAGAGCUCUGCAAGGACCUACUGUCUACCUUCCUCUCUCUGCUCUGGAAAUUGUUGUGAGUCCAUGAAGAGUGCACACUGUGCACAGCACAGGUUAAGACAGAACAACGGUAAAAUGAGAUCCCUGUAAACCAGCUGCUGGAUGAAUCAUCACGGCAUGCGAAGUUCAAUACUGGAAGAGAUAAGCAACAAUGCAGGAAAACAACUCCAGUUCACAGGCAGUGCAUGGUUAACUGCCAAACGAGCACUGUCUGAAGAUGUCAAAAGCAUCAGGUUCAAAGAGAGAACAACCUCUGUGGGCUGGGCUGGGCUGGCUUCAGACUGUAUCAUCUUUUGAAAUAUAAAAGCCACAU